CUGAUUAAAGUGUUUAAACACUAAUAGUUUCCAACUAUUAAAUUUAAAAUCAGA
rnacentral:tRNA from 1 species